rnacentral:lncRNA from 1 species
AACAGAUCACAUCCAUAUAUAUGAGGUAACACAACCAAAGGUAGCAUGAGCCUAUUAUCUUCUUGUUGUAGUUCUAACCAAGCGGCCUACUUUCUUAUGGUCACCACUGCAAGGUGCGUGUUAAUGCCUUCGAUUUCCCAAAUCUUUACCUCAAACAACCAUCAAGCGCUCUUACUCGAAGCUCUUCCUCCUGAUAGCUGCUGAGACGACUCCCACAAUACUUGCCAUCGAUCCUACUCAACAUUAUGCAAUUGUCUGGCCUUUCCCCUCCCGCAUGCUGUCACCACACAAGGGUAAUCACAC